rnacentral:rRNA from 1 species
GGAUCAAGGGAUCGGUCAUGCCUUGGUAUGUACUGGUUUUAUUGGUUCUCACCUUCUAAAGAACCUUAAUGCCAUUUAUUUGGUGUUUUGGGGAAUUUGGACUGUUACUUUGAAAAAAUUAGAGUGUUUAAAGCAAGCUAACGCUUGAAUACAUUAGCAUGGAAUAAUGAAAUAGGACGUUCGAUCCUAUUUUGUUGGUUUCUAGGAUUGACGUA